AAAUUGAAGAGUUUGAUCAUGGCUCAGAUUGAACGCUGGCGGCAGGCCUAACACAUGCAAGUCGAACGGUAGCACAGAGAGCUUGCUCUCGGGUGACGAGUGGCGGACGGGUGAGUAAUGUCUGGGAAACUGCCUGAUGGAGGGGGAUAACUACUGGAAACGGUGGCUAAUACCGCAUAACGUCGCAAGACCAAAGAGGGGGACC
rnacentral:rRNA from 1 species